UCCCUGGUGGUCCAGUGGCUAAGACUCUGCACUUGCAAUGUAGGGGGCCUGGGUUUGACUCCUGAUCAGGGAA
rfam:TPA: Bos taurus chromosome 14, whole genome shotgun sequence.